rfam:Capsicum annuum cultivar Zunla-1 chromosome 9, whole genome shotgun sequence
UGAUGGUGGUGUGGGCAAUUACGAAGCAUAGACUUGAACCUCUCUCAGGCUUGAUAUAGAUUUUCACCACUCUUAUGUCUGAAGCUUAGUCUCUCACUUCUCAACCU